rnacentral:rRNA from 1 species
AUACGGAGGAUCCGAGCGUUAUCCGGAUUUAUUGGGUUUAAAGGGUGCGCAGGCGGCCAUUUAAGUCAGCGGUUAAAUCGUGGGGCUCAACCCCAUUCUGCCGUUGAUACUGGGUGGCUUGAUUGCGGUCGAGGUUUGCGGAAUUCGUUGUGUAGCGGUGGAAUGCAUAGAUAUGCCGAAGAACACCGAUUGCGUAGGCAGCUGACCAGACCGCAAAUGACGCUCAUGCACGAAAGUGCGGGGAUCGAACAGGAUUAGAUACCCUGGUAGUCCGCACAGUAAACGAUGAAUACUUGUUUUCGGCGAUAUAAUGUCGGAGGCAAAGCGAAAGCGAUAAGUAUUCCACCUGGGGAGUACGCCGGCAACGGUGAAACUUAAAGGAAUUGACGGGG